AAAAUGGGUUUCUUAGGUUUAUUUCCAGCAAACUUGUUUCAUAGUCAUUUUACAGAAGACCAGCACCAACACCAUUAACCAAUUCAAACAAAGCAAGAAACGAACGCAUACAUGGAGAAGAUCCCAUUAACAACUGUAUGAAUUUGGAUCAUACAUGAAUUAUUGAAAUUUUGUGAUACCAGGCCCACAUCAGUAAUCUUUCUUCCCAAAGUUUUUGCACCAGAGCUGCGAAGGAAUCGGGCGAACAGGAAGAUGAGGUCGUUGCUCAAGCUCGGCGGAUUUGAUGGCGAUGGGGAUGCAGACGAGGAAGAUGCCGAACAUCGCGAUGGCGGUGUUGCGCUUCCAGUGAACGGGCCGGCAGUAGGGCCCGCCCGUCAGGCUCCAGACCUUGGUCCGGAAAUCGGCAUGCUCCGCCGCUCCGUGGCCGUGAUCGCCGCCGCCGCCCAUCGCCGGGAU
rnacentral:misc_RNA from 1 species